AGGGACAUAGCUUUGUGGAAGAGUGUCUGCUUUCCAUGCAGAAGCUCCAAGGUCCAAUCCCCAGUGUCUCCA